GCAACGUUGGUGUAAGGGUAGCACACAAGCCUUCAAAGCUUGGUAGCGUAUCUCCAGUACGCAGGAGUGGGUUCGAGUCCCAUACGUUGCUCAA
rnacentral:tRNA from 2 species